AGACGGAGGGUGCAAGCGUUAAUCGGAAUUACUGGGCGUAAAGCGCUCGUAGGCGGCCUGUUAAGUCGGAUGUGAAAGCCCCGGGCUCAACCUGGGAACUGCAUUCGAAACUGGCAGGCUAGAGUAUAGUAGAGGCAAGUGGAAUUCCGGGUGUAGCGGUGAAAUGCGUAGAUAUCCGGAGGAACAUCAGUGGCGAAGGCGACUUGCUGGACUAAUACUGACGCUGAGGAGCGAAAGCGUGGGGGGCAAACGGGAUCAGAAACCCCAGUAGUCC
rnacentral:rRNA from 1 species